GACGAACGCUGGCGGCGUGCCUAACACAUGCAAGUCGAACGGGGUUACGGGAGCUUGCUCCUGUAACUUAGUGGCGAACGGGUGAGUAACGCGUGAGAAACCUGCCUUUCAGUGGGGGACAACAGUUGGAAACGACUGCUAAUACCGCAUAAUGUAUCCGGAGGGCAUCCUCUGGAUACCAAAGCUUUAUGUGCUGAAAGAUGGUCUCGCGUCUGAUUAGCUAGAUGGCGGGGUAACGGCCCACCAUGGCGACGAUCAGUAGCCGGUCUGAGAGGAUGAACGGCCACAUUGGGACUGAGAUACGGCCCAGACUCCUACGGGAGGCAGCAGUGGGGAAUAUUGGGCAAUGGGGGAAACCCUGACCCAGCAACGCCGCGUGAAGGAAGAAGGCCUUCGGGUUGGUAAACUUCUUUACCUAGGACGAAGAACGU
rnacentral:rRNA from 1 species